GUAGGGUGCAAGCGUUAAUCGGAAUUACUGGGCGUAAAGCGUGCGCAGGCGGCUUUGCAAGACAGAUGUGAAAUCCCCGGGCUCAACCUGGGAACUGCAUUUGUGACUGCAUCGCUAGAGUGCGGCAGAGGGGGAUGGAAUUCCGCGUGUAGCAGUGAAAUGCGUAGAUAUGCGGAGGAACACCGAUGGCGAAGGCAAUCCCCUGGGCCUGCACUGACGCUCAUGCACGAAAGCGUGGGGAGCAAACAGGAUUAGAUACCCUGGUAGUCCACGCCCUAAACGAUGUCAACUGGUUGUUGGACGGCUUGCUGUUCAGUAACGAAGCUAACGCGUGAAGUUGACCGCCUGGGGAGUACGGCCGCAAGGUUG
rnacentral:rRNA from 1 species